GGAAUUUUCCGCAAUGGGCGAAAGCCUGACGGAGCAACGCCGCGUGAGGGAUGAAGGCCUCUGGGCUGUAAACCUCUUUUAUCAAGGAAGAAGAUCUGACGGUACUUGAUGAAUAAGCCACGGCUAAUUCCGUGCCAGCAGCCGCGGUAAUACGGGAGUGGCAAGCGUUAUCCGGAGUUAUUGGGCGUAAAGCGUCCGCAGGCGGCCCAUCAAGUCUGCUGUUAAAAAGUGGAGCUUAACUCCAUCAUGGCAGUGGAAACUGUUGGGCUAGAGUGUGGUAGGGGCAGAGGGAAUUCCCGGUGUAGCGGUGAAAUGCGUAGAUAUCGGGAAGAACACCAGUGGCGAAGGCGCUCUGCUGGGCCAUAACUGACGCUCAUGGACGAAAGCCAGGGGAGCGAAAGGGAUUAGAUACCCCUGUAGUC
rnacentral:rRNA from 1 species